rnacentral:rRNA from 1 species
UGAGGAAUAUUUCACAAUGGAUGAAAGUCUGAUGAAGCAAUACUACGUGGAGGAAGAAGGCCUUUGGGUUGUAAUCUCCUUUUCUCAUUGAAGAAUAUAUGACGGUAAUUGAGGAAUAAGCAUCGGCUAACUUCGUGCCAGCAGCCGCGGUAAUACGAGGGAUGCAAGCGUUAUCCGGAAUUAUUGGGCUUAAAGCGUUUGUAGGUGGCUUAGUGUGUUUGGUGUUAAAUAUUGAAGCUCAACUUCAAUUUCGCAUUGAAAACUACUAGGCUUGAAUAUUAUAGAGGUAAAGGGAAUUCUUAGUGUAGCGGUGAAAUGCGUAGAUAUUAAGAAGAACACCAAUGGCGAAAGCACUUUGCUAGGUUUAUUAUUGACACUGAGAAACGAGAGCUAAGGUAGC